UCGAUAACUUUUUUAAUAAGUUCGGUUGC
rnacentral:sRNA from 1 species